rnacentral:rRNA from 4 species
CACCGCGGUUAUACGAGAGGCUCAAGUUGAGAGAACUACGGCGUAAAGGGUGGUUAAGGUAAACUUAAAAAAUAAAGCCGAACCCCCUCAACACUGUAAUACGCCCCCGAGGGGAGGAAGCCCAAUCACGAAAGUGGCUUUACAACUCCUGAACCCACGAAAGCUAGGGCA